UACGGGGGGGGCAAGCGUUGUUCGGAAUUACUGGGCGUAAAGGGCUCGUAGGUGGCCAACUAAGUCAGACGUGAAAUCCCUCGGCUUAACCGGGGAACUGCGUCUGAUACUGGAUGGCUUGAGAUUGGGAGAGGGACGCGGAAUUCCAGGUGUAGCGGUGAAAUUCGUAGAUAUCGGGAGGAACACCAGUGGCGAAGGCGGCGACCUGGACAGAUAUUGACGCUGAGGUGCGAAAGCGUGGGGAGCAAACAGG
rnacentral:rRNA from 1 species